GCAGCUUUAUCUCUUAUAGUGCUCUGUUACAAAUAGACCAUAAAAAUAAUUAAUGUAGCAGCAGUGACGUUUGGCAAUUUGACCAUAGCCAUCUUGUCUUUUCGAAACAGACAUGACAAUUAUUGAAU